rnacentral:lncRNA from 1 species
GCAACGCCUUGGAUGCCAGUGGCUACAAACCCAGAGAAGAAGGUUGAACGGUGGCUGAAUGCGACAAAACGUAACUAUGCCUGGAAAAUGUAAAUUCCAAGACUCCUGGCUCGCAAAGGAUAUUUACAAGGACUGGCUCGUGAAGGAUAUGCAUGACAUCCACUUCGCCCGAUGCAGGGCCUGUUGUAAAUCUAUUAAACUUCAGGCCAUGGGCGAGGCAGCUUUGACCAGCCAUGCAGGGGGAGCUGGUCACAAGGCAGCGGUCCGUAAACUCCUGGAAGGUACCGGUAAUUUGAAGUUGAUGAAUACAGCUGGGCAGAAGAACAGAGUGUUCAAUCGGGCAGACGACACCAAGGAGCAAGUGGCCAUCUGUUUCCAGCGUGUGGCCUUGGACAGGAUAACAGGCAGAGACUGGUCAGGUCCUCACCACAGCCCUGAUACAAAGCUCACCUCUCAGAAUGCAGAGCUGCAGGAUGUGACAUUUCCUGCUGCUUUCUUCACAGCCCCAGGCUGUGCGGUGCAGGACAUCAGCAGCUUCUCUACAGACACCACGACACAGCAGCAGCAGAGGGCGCUGUCUGUGGAACAACAGCAGCACCAAAUGAAGCUCCUAGAGUGGAAGAACAGGAUGAAGCUGCUGACAUUGGAGCAGGAGCUAGUUAGGGAGAAGAGGAGAGCAGUGAAGCAGAAGGAGAG